GUAGGUGGCAAGCGUUGUCCGGAAUUAUUGGGCGUAAAGCGCGCGCGGGCGGUUCUUUAAGUCUGAUGUGAAAGCCCACGGGCUCAACCGUGGGGGGUCAUUGGAAACUGGAGAACUUGAGUACAGAAGAGGAAAGCGGAAUUCCACGUGUAGCGGUGAAAUGCGUAGAGAUGUGGAGGAACACCAGUGGCGAAGGCGGCUUUCUGGUCUGUAACUGACGCUGAGGCGCGAAAGCGUGGGGAGCAAACAGGAUUAGAUACCCUGGUAGUCCACGCCGUAAACGAUGAGUGCUAAGUGUUAGGGGGUUUCCGCCCCUUAGUGCUGCAGCUAACGCAUUAAGCACUCCGCCUGGGGAGUACGGCCGCAAAGGCUG
rnacentral:rRNA from 1 species